rnacentral:rRNA from 1 species
UACGUAGGGGGCAAGCGUUGUUCGGAAUUACUGGGCGUAAAGCGCGCGUAGGCGGUUUGGCAAGUCAGAUGUGAAAGCCCCGGGCUCAACUUGGGAACUGCAUUUGAUACUGCCAGACUAGAGUACAGAAGAGGUGACUGGAAUUCCCAGUGUAGCGGUGAAAUGCGUAGAUAUUGGGAGGAACACCAGAUGCGAAGGCGGGUCACUGGGCUGAUACUGACGCUGAAGUGCGAAAGCCAGGGGAGCGAACGGG